rnacentral:rRNA from 1 species
GAACGAGAAAGUCCGCAAGGAUGAGUAAAGUGGCGAACGGGUGAGUAACACGUGACUACCUGCCCUCGAGUGGGGGAUAACCCCGGGAAACCGGGGCUAAUACCGCAUAAUCUCGCAAGAGCAAAUGCGCAAGCAGCUUGAGGAGGGGGUCGCGGCUGAUUAGCUAGUUGGUGAGGUAACGGCCCACCAAGGCGAUGAUCAGUAGCCGGCCUGAGAGGGCGCACGGCCACACUGGAACUGAAACACGGUCCAGACUCCUACGGGAGGCAGCAGUGGGGAAUUUUGCGCAAUGGGGGAAACCCUGACGCAGCAACGCCGCGUGGAGGAUGGAGUUCCUUGGAACGUAAACUCCUUUCGACCGGGACGAUUAUGACGGUACCGGUGGAAGAAGCCCCGGCUAACUUCGUG